CCAAGGCUCGCUUCGGCGGGUC
rnacentral:snRNA from 1 species